UCCGUGGUGACACGGAAUCUGAAGGAAGUCGGAGGCAAAUCUCCGCCCCAAGGAAUACAAACUACAUAGAAGGCUGAUUGUCAUUGAGUGAGUUUGCUAAACAAAACAAAGCUCAUACUGCCAAAGGUGACAGUGGGUAAAUGUAGUGGGGACAUGGAGAGAAAGAGUGCAUU
rfam:Pontibacillus litoralis JSM 072002 contig20, whole genome shotgun sequence.